rnacentral:rRNA from 1 species
UUUUCCGAUACUCUGAGGUGCGAAGUGGUUCUGACCUUUUGGUACAGAGAAGUCAUUGAUGCCCGGCUUCCAGGAAAAGCUGCUAGCCAUAACUUAUAGAGAACCGUACCGCAAACCGACACAGGUGGACAGGUAGAGAAUACUAAGGCGCUUGAGAGAACUCGGGUGAAGGAACUAGGCAAAAUGGUACCGUAACUUCGGGAGAAGGUACGCCCUUUCUGGUGAUGGGAUUUACUUUCAGAGCUGGAGAGGGCCGCAGAGACCAGGUGGCUGCGACUGUUUAUUAAAAACACAGCACUCUGCAAAUUCGUAAGAAGACGUAUAGGGUGUGACGCCUGCCCGGUGCCGGAAGGUUAAUUGAUGGGGUUAUCUUCGGAGAAGCUCUUGAUCGAAGCCCCGGUAAACGGCGGCCGUAACUAUAACGGUCCUAAGGUAGCGAAAUUCCUUGUCGGGUAAGUUCCGACCUGCACGAAUGGCGUAACGAUGGCCACACUGUCUCCACCCGAGACUCAGUGAAAUUGAAAUCGCUGUGAAGAUGCAGUGUACCCGCGGCUAGACGGAAAGACCCCGUGAACCUUUACUAUAGUUUUGCACUGGACUUUGAUGAUGACUGUGUAGGAUAGGUGGGAGGCUGUGAAGUGAGGACGCUAGUUCUCAUGGAGCCGCCCUUGAAAUACCACCCUGUUGUUAUUGAGGUUCUAACUUGGUCCAGUAAUCCUGGAUGAGGACAGUGUAUGAUGGGUAGUUUGACUGGGGCGGUCUCCUCCCAAAGAGUAACGGAGGAGCACAAAGGUACCCUCGGUACGGUCGGACAUCGUACCAAGAGUGUAAAGGCAAAAGGGUGCUUGACUGCGAGAGUGACGGCUCGAGCAGGAACGAAAGUUGGUCUUAGUGAUCCGGUGGUUCUGAAUGGAAGGGCCAUCGCUCAACGGAUAAAAGGUACUCCGGGGAUAACAGGCUGAUACCGCCCAAGAGUUCAUAUCGACGGCGGUGUUUGGCACCUCGAUGUCGGCUCAUCACAUCCUGGGGCUGAAGCAGGUCCCAAGGGUAUGGCUGUUCGCCAUUUAAAGUGGUACGCGAGCUGGGUUUAGAACGUCGUGAGACAGUUCGGUCCCUAUCUGCCGUGGGCGUAGGAAAAUUGAGAGGAGCUGCUCCUAGUACGAGAGGACCGGAGUGGACGAACCUCUGGUGCACCGGUUGUCACGCCAGUGGCAUGGCCGGGUAGCUAAGUUCGGACGGGAUAACCGCUGAAAGCAUCUAAGCGGGAAGCCUCCCUCAAGAUGAGUUUUCCCAUGAAGCCCGUUGAAGACUACGACGUUGAUAGGCAAGGUGUGGAAGCGCAGUAAUGCGUGAAGCUAACUUGUACUAAUUGGCUGAUUGUCUUGACCAU